UACGUAGGGUGCGAGCGUUGUCCGGAAUUAUUGGGCGUAAAGGGCUCGUAGGCGGUCUGUCGCGUCGGGAGUGAAAACUCAGGGCUUAACCCUGAGCCUGCUUCCGAUACGGGCAGACUAGAGGUAUGCAGGGGAGAACGGAAUUCCAGGUGUAGCGGUGAAAUGCGUAGAUAUCUGGAGGAACACCGGUGGCGAAGGCGGCGUCCUGGACCAACACUGACACUGAUGAGCGAAAGCCAGGGGAGCAAACGGG
rnacentral:rRNA from 1 species